rnacentral:rRNA from 1 species
ACUGAGAUAGUAUAAAAGAGUGCUAAAUUGCUCAGGAUGAACGCUGGCGGCGUGCUUAACACAUGCAAGUCGAACGAUGAAGCCCAGCUUGCUGGGUGGAUUAGUGGCGAACGGGUGAGUAACACGUGAGUAACCUGCCCUUAACUCUGGGAUAAGCCUGGGAAACUGGGUCUAAUACCGGAUAGGAGCGUCCACCGCAUGGUGGGUGUUGGAAAGAUUUAUCGGUUUUGGAUGGACUCGCGGCCUAUCAGCUUGUUGGUGAGGUAAUGGCUCACCAAGGCGACGACGGGUAGCCGGCCUGAGAGGGUGACCGGCCACACUGGGACUGAGACACGGCCCAGACUCCUACGGGAGGCAGCAGUGGGGAAUAUUGCACAAUGGGCGCAAGCCUGAUGCAGCGACGCCGCGUGAGGGAUGACGGCCUUCGGGUUGUAAACCUCUUUCAGUAGGGAAGAAGCGAAAGUGACGGUACCUGCAGAAGAAGCACCGGCUAACUACGUGCCAGCAGCCGCGGUAAUACGUAGGGUGCGAGCGUUAUCCGGAAUUAUUGGGCGUAAAGAGCUCGUAGGCGGUUUGUCGCGUCUGUCGUGAAAGUCCGGGGCUUAACCCCGGAUCUGCGGUGGGUACGGGCAGACUAGAGAGUAGAGGGGAUCCUUCC